CCCUUAGAUGUUCUGGGCCGCACGCGUGCUACACUGACGCAUACAGCGAGCACUUUCCAGUUCCGAGAGGCUACUGGUAAUCAUCAAUAUGCGUCGUGAUGGGGAUAGAUCUUUGGAAUUCUGGAUCUUGAACGAGGAAUGCCUAGUAAUCGCAGGUCAUUAGCCUGCGAUGAUUAAGUCCCUGCCCUUUGUACACACCGCCCGUCGCUACUACCGAUUUCGAGUGGUCAGGUGAAUCUUUCGGACUGUGGGCGCCCUUGAGGUGUUCGCGGAAAGUCAGGUAAAUCUUAUCACUUAGAGGAAGUAAAANUCGUANCA
rnacentral:rRNA from 1 species